rnacentral:rRNA from 1 species
ACUCCUACGGGAGGCAGCAGUGGGGAAUAUUGGACAAUGGGCGCAAGCCUGAUCCAGCCAUGCCGCGUGAGUGAUGAAGGCCCUAGGGUUGUAAAGCUCUUUCACCGGUGAAGAUAAUGACGGUAACCGGAGAAGAAGCCCCGGCUAACUUCGUGCCAGCAGCCGCGGUAAUACGAAGGGGGCUAGCGUUGUUCGGAUUUACUGGGCGUAAAGCGCACGUAGGCGGACUAUUAAGUCAGGGGUGAAAUCCCGGGGCUCAACCCCGGAACUGCCUUUGAUACUGGUAGUCUUGAGUUCGAGAGAGGUGAGUGGAAUUCCGAGUGUAGAGGUGAAAUUCGUAGAUAUUCGGAGGAACACCAGUGGCGAAGGCGGCUCACUGGCUCGAUACUGACGCUGAGGUGCGAAAUCGUGGGGAGCAAACAGGAUUAGAAACCCUAGUAGUCCC